rnacentral:rRNA from 1 species
AUUGAACGCUGGCGGCAUGCCUUACACAUGCAAGUCGAACGGCAGCACGGAGCUUGCUCUGGUGGCGAGUGGCGAACGGGUGAGUAAUAUAUCGGAACGUACCCAAGAGUGGGGGAUAACGUAGCGAAAGUUACGCUAAUACCGCAUACGAUCUAAGGAUGAAAGCAGGGGACCUUCGGGCCUUGUGCUCCUGGAGCGGCCGAUAUCUGAUUAGCUAGUUGGUGAGGUAAAGGCUCACCAAGGCAUCGAUCAGUAGCUGGUCUGAGAGGACGAACAGCCACACUGGAACUGAGACACGGUCCAGACUCCUACGGGAGGCAGCAGUGGGGAAUUUUGGACAAUGGGGGCAACCCUGAUCCAGCAAUGCCGCGUGAGUGAAGAAGGCCUUCGGGUUGUAAAGCUCUUUUGUCAGGGAAGAAACGGUGAAGGCUAAUAUCCUUUGCUAAUGACGGUACCUGAAGAAUAAGCACCGGCUAACUACGUGCCAGCCGCCGCUGUAA